AGUGAACGCUGGCGGUAGGCCUAACACAUGCAAGUCGAACGGCAGCACAGUAAGAGCUUGCUCUUACGGGUGGCGAGUGGCGGACGGGUGAGGAAUACAUCGGAAUCUACUUUUUCGUGGGGGAUAACGUAGGGAAACUUACGCUAAUACCGCAUACGACCUACGGGUGAAAGCAGGGGAUCUUCGGACCUUGCGCGAUUGAAUGAGCCGAUGUCGGAUUAGCUAGUUGGCGGGGUAAAGGCCCACCAAGGCGACGAUCCGUAGCUGGUCUGACAGGGUGAUCAGCCACACUGGAACUGAGACACGGUCCAGACUCCUACGGGAGGAAGCAGUGGGGAAUAUUGCACAAAGGGCGCAAGCCUGAUACAGCCAUACCGCGUGGGUGAAGAAGGCCUUCGGGUUGUAAAGCCCUUUUGUUGGGAAAGAAAAGCAGCAGGUUAAUACCCCGCUGUUCUGACGGUACCCAAAGAAUAAGCACCGGCUAACUUCGUG
rnacentral:rRNA from 1 species